GACGAACGCUGGCGGCGUGCCUAAUACAUGCAAGUCGAACGCUUCUUUCCUCCCGAGUGCUUGCACUCAAUUGGAAAGAGGAGUGGCGGACGGGUGAGUAACACGUCGGUAACCUACCCAUCAGAGGGGGAUAACACUUGGAAACAGGUGCUAAUACCGCAUAACAGUUUAUGCCGCAUGGCAUAAGAGUGAAAGGCGCUUUCGGGUGUCGCUGAUGGAUGGACCCGCGGUGCAUUAGCUAGUUGGUGAGGUAACGGCUCACCAAGGCCACGAUGCAUAGCCGACCUGAGAGGGUGAUCGGCCACACUGGGACUGAGACACGGCCCAGACUCCUACGGGAGGCAGCAGUAGGGAAUCUUCGGCAAUGGACGAAAGUCUGACCGAGCAACGCCGCGUGAGUGAAGAAGGUGUUCGGAUCGUAAAACUCUGUUGUUAGAGAAGAACAAGGACGUUAGUAACUGAACGUCACCUGACGGUAUCUAACCAGAAAGCCACGGCUAACUACGUG
rnacentral:rRNA from 1 species